ensembl:lncRNA
CUGAAUUAAACUGCAGUCCUAAAUUAAUAAUAUGUUUUGCUGUGUGUCUGUGUGUAUUGGGUUCUUGCAGUCUUAUAUAAUUGGACAAACAGUUGUGUAAAGUUUUAGUCUUAAGUUUAUAUUUGUAACCCUCAGUUUGCGGGUUUAUUUUAAAUAAAUGAAAAAAUGGUACUGGAAGUACCCCCAUCCGAUUAAUCGAAAAAAUAAUCGGCCAACUAAUCGAUUAUGAAAAUAAUCGUUAGCUGCAGCCCUACUGCGUACGUUACUAAAUUUCACAUCCUACCCUCCUCCCCAGCACCAUUUACAGUGCUGUGAAAAGGUAUUUGCCCCAUCUGAUUUCUUCCGUUUUUGUUUAUAUUAGGGAUAUAACAAUACAUUCGGCUUACCAUUCGAUACACUGCACAAUACUGGGUUCACAAUACGAUACGAAUCAUGAUAUUUUGAACAAAAUUUUAAAAAAAAAACAAAUUUAAAUAACAGAUUUAUUUCCAAAAAAUUACCAAUUUUCAAUAACUUUGCACAUACAACUUUCAACUUUUCAAUAUUUAAAAAUUUUAUUCAACCUUCUGUAUGUAAAUUAGCAUUUGACUAGGUGUGUCACUGAACAACAAAACUGAAUCUUAACAUGAAAUUAUAACUAAGAUGGCUGAAACCUAAGAGAGAACUUCUUACAGUAGUAAAAGUGCAAAAAUAAAAAAAUUAAACAUUUAAAUAAAUAGUGUUCUGUUCAAGUAAGCUCAACUCAAGACAAACAGCUUUUGGGUUUCUUAAAGUUAUCGAGCUUUUAUUGUGUACUAAAAGUUGUUGUUCAUAGGAGGGGAAAAUGCAAGAAAUUGGCUGAAAAAUGCAGGAAAAAGUGGCUUGUAAACCUGCGUCUGUGGUCAGGAGGAGCUGAGUCGGAUAAUGCUAGUGUGUGCAGUGACCACUACACAGUAACCAAGUAAGUUAAUACAACUUACAUAUCCUAUGUUUAUGUAAUCUUAGCUGUUUCCGUACUUUAUAAAGUUAAAGUAACUGUUUUGCGAUUAUCCAUGCCUUUCGUGGCAAUUCGGCGGACCUUUGAGAGUGAUUAACUUAAUAACAAAGUAUAACUGUAAUGCUUCGAGAGGUGCAGCAACAUUGAAUGUUUGUUGCUAGGUUAAUUCUCAGGACAAAAAAAAAAAAGAAAAUCCACUCUCCCUUGGUACAGAGGUCGUUGACCCGACAACUAACAAAAAAGUUGUAUGCCUCCGUACUUUUGUAUGCUUUCAUUUGUUUUCUGGAGUAGAAGGAUGUCUGGAGGACAAGGUAGUUGCUGAUAUCUACCACUUCAAUGGCAGGCAAGUAUUUCAAUUCAGUAGAAAAAUCACUCCUCUUCAUAACAGGGAUGUCACAAUACCAAAAAUCUAGUAGUCAAGACCGAUACCACCAAAAGUACAUGAUUCUCGAUACCAAAGUCGAUAUCAUGGUGUGGUUAAAAAAAAUAAAACAUUUUAAUAAAAUAAAAAACUCCUGGAGGACAUACUCCUCUGGCUAAUACUGGCAAAAAGAGAGAGGGGGGGGAUAUUUUAGUUAUCAAAUACUGUCUGACAAUGACUAAUAAAACAGUGCUAAGUGUUAAUAAGUGCUAAGGUGCACUCCUAAAAUGCAGGCACGCACACAUACACACACACCUUAUACUCUGAAUGCAAGUAUUAGUUUAAAUUCACUGAUAUGGUGGCAGGCCAGAAAGAUUUAUUAAAAGCAUGAACAUUUGAAUAAUUAUUAGUGACAUUAGGCUACAUUUAGCUGAUAGGACACAGGCUGAAUGGCGAUGCAUGGUGGUCCAAUAAGAGGUAGUUUAUAACACUGCAAUGAAUUAGCGUCAUUAACAAAUAACAGGCUAUUGCUAACAUUACAUGGAGCAUAACGUUAGCUGGUUUCACAGCCACAAUUCCAGCUGCCUCAAACAAAUAUAAUAUAGGACAGUCUUUCAGGUGCUUCGCCAAAUUCCAGGCAUUUCCUCGCUUUGUUUGAAAUGAACGAUAGCAUCGGUUGCACACCGGAAACCGAUACUAGCUUUCCUCGCAGCGAGCUUUCCUCUCUCUGCCCAUCAACGAGUUGUGUGAAAAUCUCAUGUUUUAGGUCAUAUUUAUGCAGAUAAAUAGAAAGUUAUAUCAAACUUUCAAGCACCACUGUAUGUUGUGUGCACAUAAGUAGAAAGUGGUUGUCUGAAGUACAGUUGGUUUAGUGUGAUUAGUAUUUCCUUCCUUCAGCUGCUACACACUGAUCAGCUCUCGCAGUACUCUAGUUGUCUGGGACAACCAACUGAGUAAACACACUCGGUCGUAAGUAAAGCGCUAAGGUCCCUACAUUUCAUGCGGCAGCAUUAUUUCCUAAUAUAUUUUCACAAAUUGAUACUUAUUUUAAUAUUUGAUUUUUUUAAAAAUUGACAUUUAUAUUAAAUGAGAUAUUUUUUACAAAUUACAUCUUGCAUUGACUGGCAUGGGCCACCAACAACUGUGUGUAAUUUAUUUUCCCAAGCAGGCUGAACGCAUCUUACAGCAGUGGAAGGAAAAAAAAAAAAAGGACUCUGUGCUUCAGUGUGCCAGCUCGCAUAUUAUGAAGGACGUCAUCGUCGAGGCGGCUGGGGUAGUGAGAUGAGAGAAUGCAGCGAAGAGGAAGAGGACACCGCUGCAGGGGCAGCAUGAAUGCAGGUGGAAUAAAUGUGUGUUACAACUGCAAUCAACAUGGAUAUUUUGCAAGAGAAUACCCACAGAUGGAAAAAGAGGAGGCAGAAUUCCAGCAGCCCCGGUUCACAGAGAAACAGCAGUUCAUGAUUACAAAUCCUGGGGGAAGAGAUCAGCCAACAGCAUAGGAUGAGGCAAAGGAAAAGGAUGAAUUGUAUUCAACCAAGGAGGCCUGGAACAGCCACCUGAUACGUCCAUCAACGAAUGAACGCGUUCCCCAUGGUGGGCCUGAUGUCAUGUAUAAUAUUCCAGAAUUAUAUGACACAGUGGACUAUUUGUGCCAAGUGUCAGAGGAAGAACGUAUCAGGUGUGAAGGUGACUGCAUCCACCACCAUGACAUUGCUUGUGAUGAUGAUGUAUUCACGCUCUGCACCGACAUAAUGGCACAAAACAAUCUCUGUGUUCCUUUGGAUACAUACACUGCCAUUGACCUCUACUUUUCCCUGUGAAAGGAACUGACUACACUAUUAAACACCCCCCUCCUAUCCUCCCCAGAGGAUGGACACACAAUACAUAGUAUAGACAUAGCUUAAUAACUAUAGUUCCUUUUAUAAACUUUUACACUGUCAUUAGUAUGCAUUGCUUUGCCUGUUUGUUUUUGUGAGUACACUUAACAGCAGGGCCCCUACCCACUCCCUAUUUGUACACAGUUAAAUGUCUAGAGUUUCUUUUUCAAAGCUAUACACUGUGACAUUGGU